rnacentral:rRNA from 1 species
AGCAAACAGGAUUAGAUACCCUGGUAGUCCACGCCGUAAACGAUGUCGACUUGGAGGUUGUGCCCUUGAGGCGUGGCUUCCGGAGCUAACGCGUUAAGUCGACCGCCUGGGGAGUACGGCCGCAAGGUUAAAACUCAAAUGAAUUGACGGGGGCCCGCACAAGCGGUGGAGCAUGUGGUUUAAUUCGAUGCAACGCGAAGAACCUUACCUGGUCUUGACAUCCACAGAACUUUCCAGAGAUGGAUUGGUGCCUUCGGGAACUGUGAGACAGGUGCUGCAUGGCUGUCGUCAGCUCGUGUUGUGAAAUGUUGGGUUAAGUCCCGCAACGAGCGCAACCCUUAUCCUUUGUUGCCAGCGGUCCGGCCGGGAACUCAAAGGAGACUGCCAGUGAUAAACUGGAGGAAGGUGGGGAUGACGUCAAGUCAUCAUGGCCCUUACGACCAGGGCUACACACGUGCUACAAUGGCGCAUACAAAGAGAAGCGACCUCGCGAGAGCAAGCGGACCUCAUAAAGUGCGUCGUAGUCCGGAUUGGAGUCUGCAACUCGACUCCAUGAAGUCGGAAUCGCUAGUAAUCGUGGAUCAGAAUGCCACGGUGAAUACGUUCCCGGGCCUUGUACAC